rnacentral:rRNA from 1 species
UACGUAGGGCGCAAGCGUUUGUCCGGAAUUAUUGGGCGUAAAGAGCUCGUAGGCGGUUUGUCGCGUCUGCCGUGAAAGUCCGGGGCUCAACUCCGGAUCUGCGGUGGGUACGGGCAGACUAGAGUGUGGUAGGGGAGACUGGAAUUCCUGGUGUAGCGGUGAAAUGCGCAGAUAUCAGGAGGAACACCGAUGGCGAAGGCAGGUCUCUGGGCCACUACUGACGCUGAGAAGCGAAAGCAUGGGGAGCGAACAGG